AAUAAAACAUACUUGAGUUACUAAAUAAAAUUAAUUCUUUAUAUCUAUUAAAGCAUUUUUAAAUUAAGUAAAGGUGAUUAAAAUUUAUUAAUAAAACAUCAAUAUAAGUACUGAGAAGGAAAACUUUAAAUUAUAUAAUAGAAAAACCUAAAAUUUGUACCUUUUGCAUCAUGGCUUAGCUAGAUUUAAAUUCUAAUUAUAAUUUCUCGAAAUCUAAUGAGCUAUUCUUAGUUCUUAUUUUAGUACUAUACAAACUAGUUGUGGCAAAAACUUUUUGAAAAUUAAGAAUAGAAAUGAAAUUUUAUACGAAUUAGAUGAUAGCUAGUUCUUUUAAAAAAACAUAUAAGUGUUACUAAUUAAAUUUUUACGAAAAAUAUUUCCAAAUAAAAUUUAAUUAUGGCAAAUUAUUGAGGAUAAGCUCAAUAAUUAAUUUACUUAAUGAAGCACGUAAUUCUUUAUUAGAUUUAAGCUUGAAAAUAGCUAUAAUACUAAGAUUUUGUUAUAAUUUUAUAUAAUUCUUAGGAAUAGAAUUUAUUUGCUUUAUUAUUAUAGAAGAAAAUUCAUCAAUUUUCAAUGAAUUAUAUCAAUGCUAAGAUGAGUAUUAAAGUAUAUUAUAAAAAACUAUUAAAUAAAUAUAGUAAACUAGAUUUUAAAUAUAUCAAUAAAAUUAUAUGAAGGAACUUGGCAAAUAAAUCAUUCUGCCUGUUUAUCAAAAACAUGGCUCCUUGGUCCUAAAAUAUGAGGAGUCGGACCUGCCCAGUGAAAAAAUUUAAACGGCCGCGGUACUCUGACCGUGCAAAGGUAGCAUAAUCAUUUGCCCUAUAAUUGAGGGCUAGUAUGAAUGGUUUGACAAGAAUGAAGCUGUCUCCAUAUAAUUAUAUAGAAUUUUAUCUUUAGGUGAAGAAGCCUAUAUAAAAUUAAAAGACAAGAAGACCCUAUCGAGCUUGAAAUAAAUUAGUGAGUUAACAUAUAUAAUCAUUAAAAUAGCAUUCACCAUAAAUUUUAGUUGGGGCGACGAAGGAACAUUAAAAGCUUCUUUUAAGUUUUUAAUUACUAAACAAGUAAGGAUCCAAUAAAUUUUGAUCAAAGGAAUUAGUUACCGUAGGGAUAACAGCAUUAUCUUUUUUGAGAGCCCAUAUCGAAAAAAAGGUUUGUGACCUCGAUGUUGGACCAGAAUAUCCUAAAGAUGCAGAAGUCUUUAAGGGUUGGUCUGUUCGACCAUUAAAAUUCUACGUGAUCUGAGUUCAGACCGGCGUGAGCCAGGUCAGUUUCUAUCUUUUAUUAUCAAGAUAAAUUUAGUACGAAAGGACCAAUUUAUUAUAUUAAAGAUAUAGUUUUUGAUAAAAUAUAAUACAAAAAUAAAUUUAAUUAUUAAGAUUAUUUAU
rnacentral:rRNA from 1 species